GGGGUGGAUAACCAAAUCCCGAGGCCUGAGCACCUCCCUGAGACUCUCCCAUACCUUCCUCAGACAUGCCAACACCCACACUUCCUUCUCUCUGGUCCACAUCCAUAGCCUCCCUCACAUCCUCAGGCUCUUCACCCUGAACUGUUCCUCUUCUGCUUGCAUCAAAAGACCUUCUAGGGUCCCUUGAUGUACCUUCUCUGCUUGUC
rnacentral:lncRNA from 1 species